UUUAUGUCGGCGACCGGCGCACGGGUGAGUAACGCGUAUCCAACCUGCCCAUAACUAAGGGAUAACCCAGCGAAAGUUGGACUAAUACCUUAUGUAUUCGUUUGAUUUCAUGAGAUUACGAUAAAGAUUUAUCGGUUAUGGAUGGGGAUGCGUCUGAUUAGCUUGUUGGCGGGGUAACGGCCCACCAAGGCAACGAUCAGUAGGGGUUCUGAGAGGAAGGUCCCCCACAUUGGAACUGAGACACGGUCCAAACUCCUACGGGAGGCAGCAGCG
rnacentral:rRNA from 1 species